CCUUCGCCUGUUCCAUAAACAUUUAUCGAGCACCGUGCUAUUACCCCAUUCCAUCCCACAACAGCUCUGUGACGUGGACACUGUGCAUUUCAUUGAUUCUAAGAUACAGUCUUAGAAGCCGGAAGCGCGUGCUGAUCGGGGGCGGGGGGUGGGUUAUGAGGGCGAGCAUUUUUCUUUCUUCGUGGUCUAUGCCAACGGCAUGGUUUACACCAACGAAUAGUUCUGCGCGAUACAGAGCUCUGCCGACUUUGCAACUAAGGAAAUAAUCAUGAUGAGAAGACUGAGGCUGAAGAGGUGGCGCAGGGUCACACAGAGCAGGGAUUGGAGCCACAUCCGGCUGACGCCAGCUCCCUGGGUUCUGGACCGCUUGGGAUGUCAGGGAGUCCACCUGCUCUGGCGAGGCCUGUGCUGGGCUCCGGAGAAGAGCCGUGAGCAGGGCAGAUGCGGUCCUGGCUCGCUCAGACCUUCGGCAAUCUGGCGUGGGUGAGUCCCCCCAUGUUUAUACCACAGAGAUCUCAGCCCUCAUGAUCGUCUGGAUUGUGGUGCAGAGUUUGAACUCACAUCUGCCAGACAGCUUUGGAACGUCUAUCAAGGGACGUGCGACAAUAUCCCAAGAACAAACAAUGGCGCAGAAGGCUUUCACGUUGCAAUGCGAACCUCAUUUGCAAACACGCAUCCUAGUUUUUGGAAACGGAUUUUUCUCUUAGGAAGGAAGAAAUUUUAGGGAGAAUCGAAGGCGUGUGACGCUGCACAGAACGAUGAACCUACAGGCAAAGAGACAUGUGCAAUACUCCGACCCAAAGGCUCCGAAGACAAGUGUGAAGGUUCAUCCACCAAAUAAAACCAGCUAUUCUC